rnacentral:rRNA from 1 species
UAGUGGCGAACGGGUGAGUAACACGUGGGCAAUCUGCCCUUCACUCUGGGACAAGCCCUGGAAACGGGGUCUAAUACCGGAUAAUACUCCUGCCUGCAUGGGCGGGGGUUGAAAGCUCCGGCGGUGAAGGAUGAGCCCGCGGCCUAUCAGCUUGUUGGUGGGGUAAUGGCCCACCAAGGCGACGACGGGUAGCCGGCCUGAGAGGGCGACCGGCCACACUGGGACUGAGACACGGCCCAGACUCCUACGGGAGGCAGCAGUGGGGAAUAUUGCACAAUGGGCGAAAGCCUGAUGCAGCGACGCCGCGUGAGGGAUGACGGCCUUCGGGUUGUAAACCUCUUUCAGCAGGGAAGAAGCGAAAGUGACGGUACCUGCAGAAGAAGCGCCGGCUAACUACGUGCCAGCAGCCGCGGUAAUACGUAGGGCGCAAGCGUUGUCCGGAAUUAUUGGGCGUAAAGAGCUCGUAGGCGGCUUGUCACGUCGGAUGUGAAAGCCCGAGGCUUAACCUCGGGGUCUGA